rnacentral:rRNA from 1 species
CCUACGGGGAGCAGCAGUGGGGAAUAUUGGGCAAUGGGCGCAAGCCUGACCCAGCACCGCCGCGUGAAGGAAGAAGGCUCCCGGGUUGUAAACUUCUUUUAUCAGGGACGAAGCAAGUGACGGUACCUGAUGAAUAAGCCACGGCUAACUACGUGCCAGCAGCCGCGGUAAUACGUAGGUGGCAAGCGUUAUCCGGAUUUACUGGGUGUAAAGGGCGUGUAGGCGGGAAAGCAAGUCAGAUGUGAAAACCAUGGGCUCAACCUGUGGCCUGCAUUUGAAACUGUUUUUCUUGAGUACUGGAGAGGCAGACGGAAUUCCUAGUGUAGCGGUGAAAUGCGUAGAUAUUAGGAGGAACACCAGUGGCGAAGGCGGUCUGCUGGACAGCAACUGACGCUGAGGCGCGAAAGCGUGGGGAGCAAACAGGAUUAGAUACCCGGGUAGUC